ensembl:rRNA 5S_rRNA 5S ribosomal RNA
GUCUACGGCCAGGCUACCCUGAACAAGCCCGAUCUCAUCUGAUCUGGAAAGCUAAGCAGGGUCGGGCCUGGUUAGUACCUGGAUGGGAGACCACCUAGGAAGACCAGGUGCAGGAACA